CGGAGAUGAGGAUUAUACCCAUCAUAUGAGUCAAUGCUUCAUUUCUCAUUAAUAUUAAUUUUAUUUUUAAAAAAUAAAAAUAUCCAUUAUAGGUACAUUAAUACACAUUCUUCUUCGUAAAUACCACCAAACCUGUUUUUCAAAAAAAAAUAAUAGGAAUUUCAAAAAUGACAGAAAGUUAGAUAAAGUUAAAUGUGUGGCAAUAUAGGUAUUGAUGACUAGAAGGAGAGAGAGGUGAUGGAGUUC
rnacentral:lncRNA from 1 species